CUUUUAUUUUUAGUUGGAUGGACUGUUUUGCCCGUGAGUCCACACCUGCCCGAUAUCUGUAUGCGACCUGAUAGGAGAUAGUUCCGAGGAGGCAAAACGACGAUAUCUGCGACCAGGUACGAGAUCCCUCGAGCAGGUGAGGAUAAUCAAGUCUCCUUCUUCGAUCCGAUCGAUCUCGGUUUUUCAAUAUCUGUAUUCUAGCAGGUAGAUCUAGGGACAAAACAAUCCACCGGCCGAAAAGAAAAGAAAAAAUGUGAAAGAAAAAAAAAGGAAAGAGAAGAAAAGAUAAGAAAAUGGUGUGGAAUAAAAAAAUUCGUACUCCCUAUGGCUAUGGUAUAUUAUGAAAGGCGUGCGAAUUAGGCGGUGAAGGAUGAAAAUCUCGCGGCGAACGCUGGCGAUUUCUCCACGUUUCGGCGGGAAAACCCUAGUCGGCGAUGGCGCCUCGGCAAUUUUUCGGAUAGGGCAAGCGGCGGCGCCUGCUCCGCCAUCCGCCGCCGGUCCCAGAGGUGGCGCCCCGCGCGCAGCGGGGUCGUGCGUUGGGCGGGUCCCGGAGGAUGGAGGAAGCGAGGGAGCGGGUGGCUCCGGCUUGGUCACUGGGGUCGUGGCAGUGAGUGCUCUACUUCUACUCCCGUUCAGCUCUUGAGAUUGAAAGCAUUGAGGGGCCUGUGAGUUGUGCGAGUUGUGAGUGAACAUUUUGACCCUGUUAUGAGUCAGAUUAUGGUAUUAUUGUGGGCUAGAUCUUAGGUGGUAAGGAUUUAUGAUUUAUAAAUUGUUCUGUUCAUAAUGUACAUGUUUCUCAUAUUACUUAUAACUUUUAGGAGAUGAGAAGGUAUUAUCAUCCUAUCAUCAUCCUAUGCCGAAGAGGAAUCUUGAGGGUGCUGCUGCGGCAGGGCCGCAAAAAAGGCUAAUGUUACAAACAAUUUUAAUCCGGAUGGCACAGCUUCUGCUUCGAGACAACACAGACCAAUAGAUGCAUCGGAAUAUCAAAGAAAAGAUUGCUGGAGCUAACGGUGUUUGCAGCAAGGCAAGGAAAGGUGCCUGGCCAAUCACCAACUUCCAUAAACAAGGGCAAUCUUCUAGAGUUGAUAGAUUUCUACAAGGAACAAAGAAAUCAGGAGGGCUUUUGAUAAAAUUACUGCUUGUCAUGCUGGAAAUUUAGACAUAGCUUCUCCAUGGAUUCAAAAGGGUCGUGCAAAAGAUUGUGCACAAGAGGUCUUUGAAUAACAAAGGGAAGGUUAUAGGAAGAUUUCUUGGUCUUGAAUAUCUCACAGAGGAUACACCUGCUGCUGCAUUCAAGGAAACAUUAGUUGGUCUGCUUGCUUAGCAUGGCUUAUCUAUUUCUAGACUACAAGGACAGGGGUAUGAUGGAGCUUCAAAAGUGAGACAAGAAUUUAACGACAUGCAGCUUUUGAUAUGCGAUGAGAACCCAUAUGCUUUUUAUGUUCACUGCUUUGCCCACCAGCUACAACCAGUGCUUGUUACUGUCACAAGGUGCUCUUCAUCAUUUGUUCAUGAAUUUCUUCGACAGUAUCUCUUUGUCGUUACCACUAUGGUUGAAUCCUGUCAGAUGAUGGAUGCAUCACCUGAAGAGCAUCACCAUACCACUUUGAAUAAGUUGGAGAGUGAUGAGAUACCCUCUGGAGGAAGCAGCCAUAAAGAAAAGAACCUAGCUAGCUUGGGAGGUACUAAAUGGGGCCCAUGUUAUACAACCUUGAGUUGUACUAACACAAUGUGAGACUCAGUUUUGGAUGUACUAAUGAUUCUACAUCAACAUGAGCGUCAACUGUCAAACGCGCAGGAUGUCUGAUACAAAUAAUGGAUAAUUUUGAAUUUUUAUUCGUUUUGAAGAUGAUGUUAAAAUUGAUUGCCAUUGCAAAUGAGUUAUCACUUGUGUUGCAAAGAAUGUUUGCAAACCUCAAGGGACAAUGGCUGGGAGUAAUUAUUUGAAGAUGUCAAGAGUUUUUGUGCCACUGAUUGGAUUCCAGGACCAGAUAUGGAUAAACAAAUAUGAGCUACGGGUCGAUCAAGGGGAGACGGGGGCAACUGUCACUCAAUAUCAUCAUUAUAAUCAUUAUUGUGAGGGGAUUUUCUUUGCUUCUAUUGAUUCCAUUAUGACAGGGAUAACUCAUCGCUUCAACGAUGUUUCUAUGGAGUUACUAGUUCAUUUUUCUUGUCUUGAUCCAACGAACAACUUCUGUAAGUUUGAUGAGGUGAAGCUUGCUCGUCUUACUGAGAUUUAUGCUGAAGAUUUCUCCAUGGAUUAUUGUGUAGUUAUAAAACAUGAACACCAAAACUAAAUUCCUUUUAUGACAUUGCAAGUCUAGCUGCCAUGAUGGUUGAAACUGAUACACAUUUGAUUUUUCCAUUGGUAGAUCGCUUUAUCAAGUUGACACUGCUCUUACCGGUUACAAAAGCAUCUGUUUUAAAAUUGUUUUCAGUAGUGAAUGCUAUCCAUACCAAUUUUUGUGACCUCAUACCUGAUGAAGACCUGAAUGACACUAGUGUGUUAUCUUGAGAGAGAUAUUUAAAGACUUGGUAAUGAACCAAUUGUGGAAUGCUUUCAAACUAUGAAAAUAUCAGACAAUGCAAUUUUGCUGCAAUCAUAAUAAACACCCAUGUGGUAUGUUGGUUGCAUUUUUGCUCCAAGGCAAUUUUUACAACUUUUUAUUGUAAUUGAUUCUCUAAUAUUAUUAUUUGGGUGCAUGAUUGAGCUUUCAGUGCCUGCUACUGCAUAAGUUUCAUUUGUGAUGUACUUUUUUCCCCAUAUGUUUCUUCCGUGACUUGCAUAUAUUGAUUCUUUUUAGUGUAUGGCUGUGAUAGAUGGGAAAUGGGCCUUGAUGGACUUCAUUUGGUAUUUUUUGUUUUGCCUCAUUAAAUUUUUUACAGAGGAAAACUUUCACCACACAUAAAUUAAACUGAAGAAUUGAAUAAACAGAAGCCUAGUACAGUUUUUGGUUAUU